AGCGAACGCUGGCGGCAGGCCUAACACAUGCAAGUCGAACGAACUCUUCGGAGUUAGUGGCGGACGGGUGAGUAACACGUGGGAACGUGCCUUUAGGUUCGGAAUAACUCAGGGAAACUUGUGCUAAUACCGAAUGUGCCCUUCGGGGGAAAGAUUUAUCGCCUUUAGAGCGGCCCGCGUCUGAUUAGCUAGUUGGUGUGGUAAAGGCGCACCAAGCCUACGAUCCAUAGCUGGUCUGAGAGGAUGAUCAGCCACACUGGGACUGAGACACGGCCCAGACUCCUACGGGAGGCAGCAGUGGGGAAUCUUGCGCAAUGGGCGAAAGCCUGACGCAGCCAUGCCGCGUGAAUGAUGAAGGUCUUAGGAUUGUAAAAUUCUUUCACCGGGGACGAUAAUGACGGUACCCGGAGAAGAAGCCCCGGCUAACUUCGUGCCAGCCGCCGCGGUAAGAC
rnacentral:rRNA from 1 species